GAGGCAUUGUUCGUCCGACUGGAGGCAGAAUCGACGCCCCGUGACCUUUAGCACACCUACCUGCUGCUCCAUCAUCUGGGAGGGUCUGUGCCGUGUGUUCCGAAGGGUGAUGAAGACUGUGCCCCUGAGAUCCUUCCCAGACCAGAAUGGGACACCCCAACCACCAGCUCAGUCAUCAACCCUCAGUGCAAAUGGUGCUACACUCUGGGGUGUGAUUUUGCCAAGGAAGGCUCUGACUCAUCUCCACCCAAACUUUCAGGUUUCCUGAAGGCUUGGUUCCCCAGACGUUGGCGCCCCACCCAGAUCUUCUUUGAUACGCCAGUUUUUAGGAAACUACCUGCUGAAGAGAACCUGAGGCAGAGGUGAAGAUUUGCCCAGCUCACCCCGUUUUAUUUCUGACACAGCGAUGGGAUAACCUCAGAAGCCAGGGAGGUGAUUUCACUGAGAGGUUUAUUGGGCACAGAGAAUUUAUUUGGUUUCUGCUCUAUUUUUAUGAUCUUUUUUGUUAUUAAAG